rnacentral:lncRNA from 1 species
CCUGGAGUUUCCUGGAGGGAUGUCUUCUUCUUUCUCCUCGAUGAGAGGUCCCUGAGAGACUGUGACCUCACUCUUUCUCAAGCCAGGCCGCGUGUGUCUCUCAGAGCUGAUUGUAAUUCCUGUAAGAUGCAUUCACUGUAAGUCCACGCAUUUGCCUAUCUCUCCUUCCAGGUAGCUAUAGAGUCUACUGCCUUGAACGGGGACCCCAGGAACAGUUGCUCUCCACACUACAUCCACCACUA